CCACCCUUGAAAGAAAGCGUAACAGCUCACUGGUCUAAUAGCCGUCCUGCGCCGAAGAUGUACCGGGGCUCAAGCCAUACACCGAAGCUGCGGGUGUGCCCUUCCUACGGGAAGGGUACGCAGUAGCGGAGCGUUCCGUAAGCCUGUGAAGGUAAACCGUAAGGUUUGCUGGAGGUAUCGGAAGUGAGAAUGCUGACAUGAGUAGCGAUAAAGAGUGUGAGAAACACUCUCGCCGAAAGUCCAAGGGUUCCUGCGUAAAGCUAAUCUGCGCAGGGUUAGUCGGCCCCUAAGGCGAGGGCGAAAGCCGUAGUCGAUGGGAAACAGGUUAAUAUUCCUGUACCUGGAGGUAGUGACGAAUCCCGUGUGUUGUCCACCCUUAUUGGAUUGGGUGGGCCGCGAAGGGGUUCCAGGAAAUAGCUCCUCCAUUAUAGACCGUACCCCAAACCGACACAGGUGGACUGGUAGAGCAUACCAAGGCGCUUGAGAGAACGAUGUUGAAGGAACUCGGCAAAAUCCCCCCGUAACUUCGGGAGAAGGGGGCCCUCACAGUGGGCAACCAUUGUGGGGGGGCACAGACCAGGGGGUGGCGACUGUUUA
rnacentral:rRNA from 1 species